GCCUGGAUAGCUCAAUUGGUAGAGCAUAAGACUUUUAAUCUGAAGGUCCAGGGGUCAAGUCCUUGUCCAGGUG
rfam:Scleropages formosus scaffold26094, whole genome shotgun sequence.